rnacentral:rRNA from 1 species
UACGAAGGGUGCAAGCGUUACUCGGAAUUACUGGGCGUAAAGGGUGCGUAGGUGGUUUGUUAAGUCUGCUGUGAAAUCCCCGGGCUCAACCUGGGAAUGGCAGUGGAUACUGGCAAGCUAGAGUGCGGUAGAGGGUAGUGGAAUUCCCGGUGUAGCAGUGAAAUGCGUAGAGAUCGGGAGGAACACCAGUGGCGAAGGCGGCCACCUGGGCCGGAACUGACGCUGAGGCGCGAAAGCGUGGGGAGCAAACGGG